rnacentral:rRNA from 1 species
CCUGGUGGUCAUGGCGAAGGUGCCCCACCCGAUCCCAUCCCGAACUCGGCCGUGAAACCCUUCAGCGCCGAUGGUACUGCGUCUCAAGGCGCGGGAGAGUAGGUCGCCGCCAGGC